CACGAGGGUCUCACUGUCUUAAGGAAAUUUCCAGUGAAAUUGAAUUUGUAGUGAAGAUGCUACAUCCAAAUUGUUAGACAAGAAGUCCCCAUGGAACUUUACUGGAGACUUAUGUGGCUUAAAUUAAUUUAUUUCUUACAAAUAAAUAGUUUUAAAAUGUGGUGUUAACCCCUCGGAUUAACUAGGGUUAUAAAAGCUCACUCUUUUAUUUAAAGAAAGCCAACUCAAACAUUUAUGUCUUUGGGGGUUUGAUAAGUGGGACAGUUUGGUUGGGGCGACCGCCUUUAAAAAAGUAACGAAGGCGGGCUUAAGAUACAUAUUUAGUGAUGUCUGACUGCCAAGGGGAGACCCUGAGCAGACACUUACUUUUUAGGUGGGUUUAAGUGACCCGUUGAUUUAGGGUGAAAUAGUUAACGAUAAACA
rnacentral:rRNA from 1 species